CACCUACGGGAGGCUGCAGUGGGGAAUCUUGCACAAUGGACGAAAGUCUGAUGCAGCGACGCCGCGUGAGCGAUGAAGCCCUUCGGGGUGUAAAGCUCUUUCGACAGGAACGAUAAUGACGGUACCUGGAGAAGAAGCUGCGGCUAACUACGUGCCAGCAGCCGCGGUAAUACGUAGGCAGCAAGCGUUGUUCGGAAUUACUGGGCGUAAAGCGUGCGUAGGCGGUGCUUCAAGUUUGGUGUGAAAUCUCCCGGCUCAACCGGGAGGGUGCGCCGAAAACUGAGGCGCUCGAGUGUGGGAGAGGUAGGCGGAAUUCCUGGUGUAGCGGUGAAAUGCGUAGAUAUCAGGAGGAACACCGGCGGUGUAGACGGCUUACUGGACCAUUACUGACGCUGAGGCACGAAAGUGUGGGGAGCAAACAGGAUUAGAUACCCUGGUAGUCCACACCCUAAACGAUGCAUACUUGGUGUGAGCCAUUCAUUUGGUUCGUGCCGGAGCUAACGCGUUAAGUAUGCCGC
rnacentral:rRNA from 1 species